GCACUGGCCUUAAUAUGUAAUUUAUCGUGGACAUUUCCAGGCGGCCCAGACGUAGAAGAUAGUACAGUUGUGGGCUUGUAUAAAAAUUUCGAGGGCUAACUAUCAACUUGGGACUUUUGCAAUGGUCCCCGAGAGUCGUAUUAUUACUUGGCUUGAUACCCACACACAACAUGUAAACAAUCAUCUCGUUUCUGAUUGGUUGAAACAAAUUUGCCGCAAACUUUAAAUGUCAUGGCGAAUAUAUAUUUUUCCCCUUAGAUGCCAAUUUUGACAUUUGAGGGUACCACAAAAGUUGUUUUUUUGUAGCAAUUCGCCGAUGCGGUUACCUGUUAGAUCUACCUUGGGUGAGUGACUUCAUUUUUGUUUACAAUUCAAUUUUGGCUGAAGUAAUGAAAUUGCAGAGUUCCUUGGUGACGGAGCUUGUUCGACAUUUCAAUAAAUUAUGUAAGUUAGCAAACACAUUGAAAAAAUUUAAGGGAGCAAGUUGAGUUAAGGGGUACGCUCGGAUCAUUUUGAAAUUUUUACCACUCAUUAAGGAAAAGUAAUUUUUUUCAUGGGGGAAAUACCCGGUUACACGGUUAUUUGACCCAAAUUUUCGAAUACAACAUCCGGUUCCACAAAAAUGGGUACUAUUUUAAAGCUUAUGGAAUGACCUAUCUAACAAUUUGUCAUAUGAUAGGGCCAUAGAAACCGGUUCCGGAGUAAUGCAAGUAUUUUUACACCAGUACUUUGCUAAAAACUCGAAAAUGUACCCAUUAUGGGGUAUUAAGAUCUUCAUGCUACAUUAUAGCCUAUAUUCCUACCUUUCCAAAAUUGCAUUAUAUGUGCUGCACCAUUUUGGAAAGGGCAAAGUGUAGGCUACAAUGUAGUUUAUAGUACUCCAUUUUCGAAAAUGGGCCCAUUAUGGGGUACUAUAAACUACAUUGUAGCCUACACUCUGCCCUUUCCAAAAUGGUGCCAAAGGUAUUGGUAUCUCUUGUAGUUCCGGAGAUAUUAAUGUUGCAAAUCAUUAAAUUGAGAUUUUCUCCACUUAUAUGUAUCUAACCUUUAUAGUUCCGGUACAAAAAUACCUAUUUUUUGUAUUACUCCGGAACCGAUUUAAAUCAACCUAACAUAUGACCACUUUUAACCGCGUAUUUCCCCACAGAAAAAUUACUUUGCCGUAAUCAGGUUAAAAAGAUCUACGCGUGGUAAAAUUUUCAGGUCAAUCCGAACAUAGCCCCUAAACUCAACUUAGCCAAGAUUAAUGUCUAUCAGCUUCAUUUUAAACAGGUACGUUUUGCAGUAUGAGUGACCCGCUAGGAGUCUAUUGAUAAUUUUUAUUUCUCCAGGUUCUAAAGACAGUUCGGCAUGCCAGUGUUUUUUUGGUGGAGAAAAUGAGAGAAGGCUUCAUAUAAUUCCGCAUUGUUCCCGAUUGGAUUCCAAUAUGGGAAGGAACCCACACAAAAUUGAGUGAUGUGUUAUUGUAACCAGGCAUUUUUGCUAUCGGUCAGGAUUACCACCCUUUGAAUUUCAUCUUCUAAAAUGAGGUCUACGACCUUGUUAAUAGCGUUAAGUUCACCCAUAAGUGAUGAACAUUUGGAGUUAAUUUUAAAAAGGAGGUUGUUUAAUUUAGAUUGAAAAUAAGUGUUUUGCUGCGUUAACAAUGGGUUAACGCCUAAUUACUUGUAAAUGAUUAACAUCGUUGAAAUCUGUCAAUGUCAACAGAUUUCAACGAGUGGCGAAUGACGCCAACGCCGCCUUACUUCAUGUUAGGAUCGUUGUUUUGUUGUUAAUCACUCUCUUCUUCUAUCGCCCCGAUACGAAAGAAGGCUCUCGUCGCUAUUGUGCAAAAAGGUAAUAUUGUUUAUCAAAUCCUUUAUAUUAUUUAUCAAUAAAGCCUGGCUUUUGCUAUAUUUUUUAUGUUAUAUAACUAACCCCACUAUCGUGUUUUUAUUUAUUCUAUUUUGUAUUGGUUUGCUUUGCAUAUUCCCCCUAUCCCCGCAUUUGCGCAAACAUUGGUCACUUCGUACCGGAUUACGAGCCCUUGGUAGAAAAAAGUUAAUCGUUUCUUCUUUUUUUCUACUUGUAAAGCAAACUUCAUCAACACAACAAAAAUACAGUCCACGCACUCAUCGUCAUCCUCAUCAUGAUCUAUUUUCCAUUAAAAACAAUUAGGUACGUACAGUGAAAAAGUGCCUUGUGAAAUUAAAAAACAAUAUUCUCUAAGGAAAGAAUUUUCGGAAAAAAAUUGUGUAAAACAACAACAAAUCGUCUCGUUUAUUUGUUCAGUGGCCGUUUUACAACGCGUCGCGUACCUCGUUCCCCCGCCGUCUAGUUUUGCAAAUAUUAGUUGUGUUCCAGAACCUGCAAAUUAGUACUAAUUAGCACUAAUUCUGCUACAACGCGUUCCCGUACUCCAAAAACUAGCAAAACUUGCUGCUCUCUCGAGAAAAAAAUGGCGCUGAGUGGUGCACAUUUUUGCUUGUUUUAGCUACAUGAAUUUGGCCGAGCAGAAAUGUGCAUAUUGUAAAUUUGACAUUUAAUUGGCAGGGCUAACAAGGUUGAAAAAUGUAUUGAUACAUUUCAAUAAAGAAAAUGAUCAACUUGAAAACUAAAGGAAAAACUAACAUUUGUCGUGCAAAAAACAAAAAGAGAAAAUAUGGAGCAACUGAUGUAUUCACUUUUGGAUGAUUCCAGCAGUGAAGAGGACUGGCUGAAUGAGGAAUCGGAUUAUUAAUUAUUAUUAUAAAUUAUAAAUUUUAACUUAUAGUCUUCAAUACUCAUUUUUUAAAUGUUGGCGCUCUUUUCAGUAAGGUUUCACCAGUCCGAUUUAGGCUGUUUACUUUUGGAAUAUUGAAUUUUGACAUUUUAUCGCAUUUCUGCUAAUUUUCCGUUCCCUUAUUUUUUGAGCAAACCUAAAUGAGAAUGACAUUUCGAACUGUUCU